UUUUUGUUGGCUCCAAACAGAUGGGGGAGAAAGAAGGACAGAAUCUACAUUGACUUAAUUGAUUCAAUUCUAUUCAUUGAUGGGUUAUAUGGACCUCAUCUGUCACUUAUCAUGCUUGGCCUGACCACAUUAACAACCUUACUAAUAUUAUUAUUCACAAAUUGAAAGAUGAUAAUGAUGUAAAAUAUUGUACUAGUACCCUUGCUGGCCAUUGAAGGCUUCAAGAAGGCUUGGAUUUCUAUUCCACUAGUACUGCAGGUGAAGAAGAAGAAGAUGGGGAAGUUCAAAACGGUUUGUGUCUUCUGUGGAAGUAAAUCAGGGAAUAGAAAAAUAUUCAGUGAUGCAGCCCUUGAUCUUGGAAGAGAACUGGUGGAAAGAAAGAUGGAUCUGAUUUAUGGAGGAGGAAGUAUUGGGCUUAUGGGUUUGGUGUCUGAGACUGUUUUCAAUGGUGGAUGUAAUGUUCUUGGAGUUAUUCCAACAGCUCUUAUUUCACACGAGAUAUCAGGCCGUGCAGUGGGUCAAGUAUUAGUUGUCUCAGACAUGCAUGAACGUAAGGCUGAGAUGUCUCACCGUGCUGAUGCUUUCGUCGCAAUUCCGGGAGGAUAUGGAACCAUGGAGGAGUUGCUUGAGGUGAUAACAUGGUCUCAGCUUGGAAUCCACAAUAAACCAGUUGGUCUUCUAAAUGUUGAUGGAUAUUAUGACUGCUUGCUUGGACUUUUCGACAAAGGCGUUGAGGAAGGUUUCAUAAAACCCUCUGCAAGGGAUAUUGUAGUCUCUGCUGAGAACCCCCGAGAGCUGAUAGAGAAAAUGGAGGUAGGCCCAUCAUUCAUAAUUUCAGAUCAUAGCAAACAAGGUUGCUAACGCUUAUUUAUUUAUUUUGUUAACUAAGUGAAUCAUACAAAGAAGCCCUUCUUGUAUUACAUCAUUGAAGGAAUACACGCCAAUGCAUGACCAAGGAACAGCUAGUACAAGCUGGAAAGUGGAAGCACCUGCUGGUUCCACCUCUUGAAAGAAUGUUGCCCUUUUUAUACUUUCUUGUCACUCAAUUUCAUCAGUGAAAUUAAAUGGAAUUAACCCAUUCAAGC